UACGAAGGGGGCUAGCGUUGUUCGGAAUUACUGGGCGUAAAGCGCGCGCAGGCGGUCCUUUAAGUCGGGGGUGAAAGCCCAGAGCUCAACUCUGGAACUGCCUUCGAAACUAGAGGACUUGGGUACGGGAGAGGUGAGUGGAAUUCCGAGUGUAGAGGUGAAAUUCGUAGAUAUCCGGAAGAACACCAGUGGCGAAGGCGGCUCACUGGCCCGUUACCGACGCUCAGGCGCGACAGCGUGGGGAGCAAGCAGG
rnacentral:rRNA from 1 species